rnacentral:rRNA from 1 species
GGGGGAUAACGUAGGGAAACUUACGCUAAUACCGCAUACGACCUACGGGUGAAAGCAGGGGAUCUUCGGACCUUGCGCGAUUGAAUGAGCCGAUGUCGGAUUAGCUAGUUGGCGGGGUAAGGCCCACCAAGGCGACGAUCCGUAGCUGGUCUGAGAGGAUGAUCAGCCACACUGGAACUGAGACACGGUCCAGACUCCUACGGGAGGCAGCAGCC